UCUCCGUAGGUGAACCUGCGGAGGGAUCAUUACUGAGUGAGGGUCCUUGUGGCCCGACCUCCAACCCCCUGUCUUCCGACUCUGUUGCCUCGGGGGCGACCCGUACUCGGUCGAGGACGGGCCACCCCCGGUGGACCCCUCGACUCUGCGUUUCGUGCGUCGGAGUCUCAUGGGAAAUUUGAAUCAAAACUUUCAACAACGGAUCUCUUGGUUCUGGCAUCGAUGAAGAACGCAGC
rnacentral:misc_RNA from 1 species